rnacentral:rRNA from 1 species
GACAGAGGGUGCGAACGUUGUUCGGAAUUACUGGGCGUAAAGCGCAUGUAGGCGGCCACGCAGGUCGGAUGUGAAAUCCCUCGGCUCACCCGAGGACGUGCAUUCGAAACCGCGUGGCUCGAGUCCUGGAGAGGGUCGUGGAAUUCUCGGCGUAGAGGUGAAAUUCGUAGAUAUCGGGAGGAACACCGGCGGCGAAAGCGGCGACCUGGACAGAGACUGACGCUGAGAUGCGAAAGCGUGGGGAGCGAACAGG